ACAUUAAGAAAAAAGUUCUUUUAAGAACUGUUAACUGAAAGGUUCUUUGAGGAACCAAAAAUGGUUCUUCUUCGACAUUUAUUUUUAAGAGUGUAAGCAGCAUCUUCAGACACCUGAGGUUCAUCCUGCAUGAAAAGCGAAACUAAAGACUGAAUAUAGUGGGUUGUAGAGGCACGUCGGCGGUAUGCAUGAUGCGAUCGCACCGGAUCUAUGGGUGUGAGACCAGGAGGACUCAUCCUCCCUGAUGCACAAAGCAUCCCUUCAUGAGCAGCUCUAUUCUCUCCAUUGUGAGCGCUGGUUUUAGGGCCGUCUCAAGCUCUCCCUCUCUCAGGCCUGUCACUGGAGCUAAAUGACUUCCCUGUCAUCAGCUGAACCCACAGCCGGUUCAGCUGCAGGCAUUCAGGCAAGCUGAGCUGACAGCUCGCUCCUGAUCACAGAGGCUCACAGAGGCACAUCUUAAAUGGUAUGCAGUAAAUUAAAUGAGGCUGAGUUAUAUUAUGUGGCCUUAAUGGGAAAACAUUACCUGUCUGUCAAAACUAGAAUGCCACAUUGUCUAAAAGCAAUGACACACUGAAUAUGUGUGUGUGUAUGUGUGUGUGUGUGUGUGUGUGUGUGUGUGUGUACCUGGUAUUCACUAUAUUAUGGUUACAUAAUGUAGGUUCCCUACAUUAAGUUUAGUAAUACCAGUAAAUUUUGACCUUGUGGGGACAUUUUUGGUCUCCAUGAGGAAACAAGCUUAUAAAUCAUACAGAAUGAAGUUUUUGAAAAUAUAAAAAUGCAGAAAGUUUUUUGUAAGAUGUAGAGUGAGGAUAAGGGGAUAGAAAAUACAGUUUGUACAGUACAAAAACCAUUACGCCAAAGGAAUGUCCCCAUAAUGAUAGGACCAGUUUGUGUGUGUGUGUGUGUGAUAUGUUAAUUUCAGUGUUGUUUUCAUGUUAUUUUCGGGGGUUCGUGAAAGUUUGUAUAAUUGGUUUGAGAACUGAUCGUUGAACUAAGAAACUUUGCAAAAAAAUUAAAAAGAUAAAUAACAGAAGUAUAAAUUCUGUUUGUUUUGACAGAAAUGAAUGAUUUUAUUCAGCAAGGACACAUUAAAUUGAUCAAAAGUGACAGAAAAUACUUUUUUAUUGUUACAAAAAAAAAAUCUAUUUCAAAUAAAUGCUGUUCUUUUAAAUUUCCUAUUCAUCAAAGAAUCUCUUAAUAAUUGUAUCACAGUUUCCACAAAAUAUUAGGCAGCAACAGUUUGAAACAUUGACAAUAAUAAUAAUAAUAAUAAAUGUUUUUGAGUAGCAAAUCAGUAUAUUAGAAUGAAGACUGGAGUAAUGAUUCUGAAAAGAUAGAUUGACAUCACAGGAAUAAAUUACAAAUAAACUAUAAAAAUGAGAAUUGGAGAAAGAGUUUUCUUAUUGUAUUUUAAACAUAAAUUUUGAGUUUUAAGUCAGCAAACAAAUGAAACAAUUGUAUUAUCUAAAUGUACCAUCUGGGGGCAGUAGCUCUUGUCUAAACCAUACAGUCUAUGGUCUAAACGGAACAUGAAGUGUCAAGACACAUGUUGAUAUGUGGUUUACAGGGGACUCUCCACAGGCAUAAUGGUUUUUAUACUGUACAAACUGUAUUUUCUAUCGACACCAACCCUACACCUUAACCUACGCCUUACAGAAAACUGUGCAUUUUUAGAUUUGAAAAAACAAAAAAACAAAAUGUAUUAUGUUUUUUUUUUAAUCCUUUUGAAUUAUGGAGACAUAGGCUGUGUCCUCAUGAACCACCUUCACAUUGUAAUACCUCUGUCAUACCCAUGUCAUUAUACAAAUUUGUGUCCUCAUAAACCACCCAAACACAAACACACACACGCACACGCACACGCACACGCACACGCACACGCACACACACACACGCACACACACACACACACACACACACACACACACACACACACACACACAAACACACGUUUGUUUUUUGUGAAUUGUGGGGACUUUCCAUAGACUUCUAUUACUUUCCUAUUGACCAAACUAUAUUUUCUAUCCCCUAACUCAACCCUACACAUACCCCUUACAGAAAACCUGUUUGCAUUACACUUUCAGAUAAACAUCAUUUACUAUUUUUAAUCAUUUUUUCCCCUCAUGGGGUCCCCACAAUGUCAAAAAUUUGGUCAUUACAUUUGGUCCCCUCAAUGUAGCAUAAACAAGUACACACAAACACACACACAACACAAUGUUUGUUUUUGUGAAAAGUGGGGACAUCCCAUAGGUGUAAUGGUUUUUAUACUGUACUUACUGUAUGUGCUAUUGCCCUACACCAAUCCUACACCUAAACCUACCCCUUACAGGAAACUUUCUGCUAUUUCAGAUUUUCAGUACACUCCAUUCUGUGUGAUUUAUAAGCGUUUUGAAAAGUGGGGACAUGGGCUAAUGUGCUGAAAAGUCACCUUCUCUUUGUAAUACCUAUGUCAUACCCUUGUCAUUAUACAAAUUGAUGUCCUCAUUUGUCACAAAAACGCGCACACACACACAAACACACACACACACAUUUCCAUUCUGCCUCCGGAUUAAUGUGAUUUGAGAAUUUAAUAGUGCAUCAAAUUACUUAAUAGGUUUUUUUUUUUUUGGUUCGUGGUUUGUUGGUUUUACACUUGAUCUUGGUGUCAGUAUAUUUAUAUUGUUUACUUGAAGACUAGUCCUGUUUGAAAUGUCUGGAAUCAGAGUUUAAUGUCCAUUAAACCAGGAUUCUGUUUAAUGAAUAAGAAUCUGUCCCUGUGCAUGGCAAGAAAGCAUGAAAUUUGUAAGUGUGUGUGGUUUGUGGUCAGUUCUUCAGCAUUCGUUCUCACUCACAGGCUAAUGGUUAUUAUACCUCAAAAGUUGAUAUUGAUCAAAAUAUGACAUCCUGUGUAUGCCGCUCACAUGCUCAUAACUCAUCUUAUUCUUGAUUUCAAUUUGGUCAGUGCUGAAAAUGAGAAAGGAACAUUUUAAUGAUGUUGCAAAGUCUGCUCAGGUUAAGGCUUUAUAGUUAAAUAUUUUACAUUACCCAAAACAGCAAAAGUACAGCUAGCAGACUGAGAAGGAAAUAUGAGACGACCACAAAUGAUCCACCGACUUCAACUUGACACUAGGAACAUCUGCUGUGGGUGUCUGAACUUGUAAAAGUGACUUACAGUUAGAGCUGCAGGAACACCACAUUUCUGUUCAGUUCAGAUCUUGAGAGCUUUGUACCCUUUUCUUGUAAUAUGGUGUAUAAAUAGUCUCAAUAUGGCCUGUGGCUUUUGUUGAUGUAUUAAAUGUGCCAAAGAUACUGUAGACUAAGUAACUCUUUGUGCCUAAACAGCACAGCAAAGAGUUAUGUAACUAUGGCUUUCAAUUGAUGAAACAUUUACUUAUUUGGAUGUAAUAUAUAAUUAAUUUGGAAUAUGCAUCCUAGUGCUCUAUUCUUACUAUUUAUAAAAAAAAUACCUAAUUAGGUUAAUUUAUAAUUCUGUGUCUCAUUGUUUUAGACACAGAAUGUCAUUGAUUACACUGAUUGUCUUAAAGUAUUUAAUGUUUCGACAAUUUAAUAAUAUUGUAUUAAUCCUGACUGUACUAACUUUUUUCUUUUUCUUUUCUAGUCCCUCCUUAACUGUUCUUCACAGAGUCCACACACUCUAAGAUACAUCAAAAGAGUUUCCAGACAUUAUCUCAUUUCAGAAAUUGAAAACUUUUCCAAUAAUGGAAAGCAGCAAGGACAUCUCAAUGGACAAAUCUACAGUUGUUAUCCAGUUAAAUGCACGGGUGACACAAGGCGGGGUUAUUUGUGAUGAGGGACAGGAGGCUGGUGGAGAAAAUCAAUAUGCAGCUCUUAAAGGAUUUUUCAAAGCAGAACCAAAGGCACUGGCGGUAAUGCAUUGAAGGAUGAAUUAGAAUUAUAUGAUGUAUGGUUUGGAAAAUUAUCUGUUAAUAUAAAUUCGACUAGAUCGCUGUGUCCAAACAUGCCAUGAUGAAUAUAACAUCUGACCUUCAUCUGCCCUCUAGAUAGUCCAGAUAAUGGUUGGACUGAUGGUCUUCUUUCUUGGUAUUGUACUCAGCACCAGUGUCCCUGAAUACAAUUACUUAGCUGUUCUUGAAUAGUGGCAUAACCUACUGGGGAUCCCUUGUUGUUAGUUUCAUUUAAUGGUUUUGGUUUUUUGCUUCUCAUUUCGAGGAAUCUUUAAAAUGUCCUGUGUUUCCUUCUCAGUACAUCAGUGCUGGAUCUCUGUCUGUUGCUGCGCAGAAUAAACGUAGUCCGUGCCUGGUGAAAGCCUCUCAGGAAAUGAAUAUUUUCAGCACCCUAAUUGCAAUGAUAGCCAUUCUUCUGAUGAGCUUGCAGUUAGCAUUUAUACCAACAAAUCGUUUGUAAUAUUGGCAUUCACCAUCCUUCAGUUCAUCAUCUCCAUCUGUAUCUCAACAUUUGCCUGCAAAGCCAUCAGCUAAACCAACUCUUCAGUAGUAAAUGUGGCACUAAACCAGGGAAACUGAGUCACAGUGAAGAGAUCAAAGGCUGCAGGAAAUUCAUAUCUCACAUUGUUGCUUUUUUUUAUCUGUUCUAGUGUUACAGUGAUGUAUUCAUGCAUAUUUGUUUAUGUUUGACAUGGAGAAAAAGAUUGUAUUUGUUAACCAAGUUUCCGAAUGAGUAUAUUCUGAAAGUCUUUUAAGACCCGUUUUGGGGAUAACAAGUAUGUGAGUUAUGUAACUUGUCACACACUCAUUGUUUGGAUCCUGUUUGUGUUGUGUAGUAAAUUGGUUGUCAUGGUUGUUCAUCUGACUUCAUCAUUAUGUUCAGGUGUGUGUCUCCCCUACUUAAGUGUUUGAUUGUUGGGUCUUGUCUCUGUGUAGUUGUGCUGCUGUACUGUUGGAAUUACUCUGCGGAGUAUU